rnacentral:rRNA from 1 species
CGUUCCCGGGCCUUGUACACACCGCCCGUCAAGCCACGAAAGUUGGUAACACCCGAAGCCGGUGGCCUAACCCCUUGUGGGAGGGAGCUGUCGAAGGUGGGACUGGCGAUUGGGACU